UACAGAGGUCCCAAGCGUUGUUCGGAAUCACUGGGCGUAAAGGGUGCGUAGGCGGCGCGGAAAGUCAGGGGUGAAAUCCCGGAGCUCAACUCCGGAACUGCCUUUGAUACUCCCGCGCUUGAGAGCUGGAGGGGAGACCGGAAUUCACGGUGGAGCAGUGAAAUGCGUGGAUAUCGUGAGGAACACUAGUGGCGAAGGCGGGUCUCUGGACAGUAUCUGACGCUGAGGCACGAAGGCCAGGGGAGCGAACGGG
rnacentral:rRNA from 1 species